UUUUAAUUUAAUGUUAUAAAAGAAAUUUAAUAAUCCACCUAGGGUUUGCCUUUUCUUUCUGGAAAACUUGGUAUGUAUUCCCGUCUGACUCGGGGAUUGUUGAACGGAGCGGUAGAGCCUGCGGGCGGAGGGUUCUUGCCGCCGAUUUAUGGAGAACCUUUCGGACUAAAAUUCGAAGUUUCAAUUCGAUCUAGAUUCUGUUUUCGGAUUGCUUCUGAUCCUUAGACCAGUCCCUUACUUAUUUAUUACUAGCGGCCCGCUCCGGCUUCGCACGGGUAUAAAAUAUAUAUCCUAUGUCAUUCACUGAAAAAAUGAUAAAAAGCUACGUCCAGCAAUUUUUAAAUCUGUAAUAUCUGCGAAAAUAUUCAUUUAAUCUCCCGAGACCUCACACGAUGACAUAUGCACUGUUAUAUUUGAAUUUCGCGCUGUCUGGGGCAUGAACGAAGUGUUCCCAUACUUGAAUAUAUGUAUUUUCUGUGGUUUCUGAACGCCAUUUUUUAAUGGCGACGGUGAGACUGUAGACGAAAGGAGCCAUCAUGCCGCGCGGUUUGAAAGAAGAUGAAAUUCUCAGUUGGCUGAAUGAAUCCGAUGGUGAACCAUUAUCAGACAGUGAAAAUGAACUAGUUCCACCAACACAUUCUAGUGGAGAUUCCAGUUCCGAUGGCGAUGAAAAUGGAAGCAACACUAUACCAAUACUAGAUGAAAACACAUCUUCCAGUGACGAAGAAACAGCAAGCUUGAGUACUCCUUCGCAUCCACCUGUAGCAACUACUGUCGGUGGCCGAGGAAGAGCAAGUUUAAGCGGUAGGUGAGACGUCAGUAAGGGGAAGAGGACGCGGAACGGGACGGGGAAGUUCUGUAUCGGUAGCCAUAUCUCGAGGUCGAGGGCAUGCCCUCGUAAGAUGUGUGCGCCAACGUGGUCGUGGUGUCCAGCAGCGCAGGCGAAUUGGUAUUCUAUAUCACCAAAACUGGUGAGGAGUCUCAUUCAAGCCAAAUUUAAAAGGUAUACAGCAACCAGCAUACCUGCCUUGUGAUCGGUCAAAAUGGGAACCAGUUGAUUUAUAAAAGAAUAUGUAGACGACGACAUACUGGAUAAAAUGGUCACUGCAACCAACAGAACCGCUUUGUCACGAACCGGACAUACACUGGAACUUACUUUGAAAGAGCUCAAAAUAGAAAAAAGACAAAGAGAGAUAGAUUAUUCAAAAUCCGAUCUUCAUUGAAGGUCGUUUACGAUGAUGAUUAGAUCUCUGAAGAGAAGAUAGAUGAUAAAAUCUGGAAGGUUCGCCCUUUUUUGGAUCUUGUAUUAGAAGGGUGUCAUAAACAAGAACGUACUGUUGAUAUGAGUAUAGAUGAGAUGAUGAUACCGUUUGCUGGCCAGUGCGGUAUAAGAGUAUAUUUGCCGUGCAAGCCAAAUGCUCUCGGGUUAAAAGUCCUUGUCUUGGGCAAUCCCAAUGGAGUUGCUUGUGACAUGAUAGUUUACCAAUGCGAUACUACCUUUCCGACUGAACUUACAGAACGUUACAGUCUUGGUGAAUGUUCGAUUAUGUUUCUGACUCGGACCUUGGUAGCUGGGCACAUUAUACACUGUGACCGUUAUUUCACCACUCUCAAGCUUGCAGACUCCAUGUUGGAAAAAGGAUUUUACCUCGUGGGUACCAUUAUGGCCAACAGAAUACCUCGGCACAUUGCUUUGAUUCCAGAUAAAGAGUUAAUGGCAAAGGGACGCGGAACAACUUUUACCUUAGUACGAGAAGAUGGGAAGUUGGCGACUACCAAAUGGCAAGAAAAAACUGACACUUGUCAACGCUGGUCGAAAAAAAACAAAGUUUACGACCGUGACUCGUCCAGAAGUCGUAAAAGAAUAUAAUUUAUCCAUGGGUGGAGUCGAUUUGGCAGAUCGCAUGUGGUCUGAUUGUCCAUCGCGAGCCAGAACAAAAAAGUGGACGGUACGAGUAGUGUUUCACAUAUUUGAUUUAGCAGUCACUAACUCGUAGUUUGUUUAUCGCCAUGAAUGUGUGAGGAACGGUGUAGCUCGCAAAAACACAAUGCAACUGCAGGAAUUCAAAAUGGUCCUAGGUCACUACUUUAUCGAAGCUAAUGACGUGUCUAGCGACAGUUCUGAGACCGACGACGGAGUGUUGGAGCCCAAAUAUAAGAAAAGGAAGGUGGCCAUCGUUUCUCUUCCUUCAGAUAUCAAAAGGUGUCAAAAAGCAGAUCAUAUGCCGCUAAAAACAUCGGUUCAAAACAGAUGUCGGCUAUCUGGCUGCAAACAAUCAAGCAAGACCAAAUGCGCAAAGUGUAAAAUUUAUUUAUGUAACACUUUGAAUCGCAAUUGCUUCCAAAUAUUUCAUAAGUAAAGUUCUUAUUAUUUUAUAGAAUUCGUUUUGUUUUAAGAGACACUUAUUUGAAUGUACAUUUAAUUAAUUUCUUUGUUGAUCUCAACACGAUUUUCUAUUACAGGUAUCUAAUCGUACGAAAAAAUUACUGAUUUUUGUGAUUAUAGUUCUGAGGUAAAAAUAGAAGUAUUUUGAGGUUUAUUUUUUUGGUAAAUAACUCUAAGUUACAAAAUAAAAGUAAUUUGAUGUUAA